AAAAAAAAAAAGCCUCUGUGGCCACAUUAAGUUUAGAGGAUCUUUUCUGAGGAAAAUCUCCAAACUGGCUUUUCUGGCAGAGUCAAGGUGCCCCGGUGAAGGCGCGCCUCCUUAAACAGAAAAAAAAAAAAAAACGAAAUAAAUAAUAAUUCACGCACAAUGACAAGCUGGCAUCUGCUCUCCAUCUGACAACAGCUUAGUAUUCUCCACAGGUACCCCACUCUCUCCCUCAAAGCAACAGCCAAUAUUUUCUCUCUCUUUUUUUAAACCCUCUAUGCACACCACUCUUUCCCAUCCCUAUGCGGCUUUUUUCCCUUCUCCUUCUAUUUUUUUUUUUUUUUGAGCCAGCUCACACGAACAACAUCGGAACUGAACAGCGGCUUCAUAAAAUAUGCAGAAUGAAUUCAAGCGUCGACAGCAGAAAGAAUCAAGUUGAGAUGGAAAAAACAGGACGAACGACGCUGCGUUUUACAGUCCAACAUUUUGCCUCGGCCACCAAUUAAUGCGCCACUUGCGCUCGCAGGCGGAUAGAUCCUGACAAGGCGCUCCGCCUGAUCAUCGCUUGUGUUUCAGCUGCUGUGCUGCUUUUUGGGAAGGAAGGAAGGAGGGGAAAAAAGGUGGCAGACUAUACAACACGCAACUUCUCAUUUCCAGAAUAUUUAGUGCAGCGCAUAUCGUCCAAAGCCAAUAAAUCCCCGUAGCGCAUUAAAUCCCGUCCCUCUACUGAAGAGGAAGAAUAAUAAAGGGAAAUUUUAAAGGUCCCUGUAAGAGGUGUUUCAUAAAACACGUGACUCCCGUUAUUCCUUGAUGGAAAAAAAAAUGAUGCAUUUAAUCCAUAAGCAGUGGGAGACACCAUAUGGAUGCGC